GUUGGAUCACCUGUUACAGGAGUGAAGAUGAAUUGGAUAUGUGCAUGUUGAAUAUAAAGUGUCACUGAGAUGCUUAGGAAGCUCUAUGUAAAGCACUUGUGAAUGGAGGCUGCACACAAAGGCGAAAGGACAUAGAAAGAAUGUGAGUCCCUGACACUGCAGAGCCACACACAAGCUCUGGACCAUUUAUCUGGAUUUUUACAUGGAAGAGAGGUAAUAUUUUUAUUAUCACUAUGGGGACAUUUAAAACAUUCUUCCUUUCAUACUACUUUACAAUCAUCUGAAUAUGAAAUAUCUAAUGCAAUAAUGAUUGAUAACCACCAUGAUACCAGGGAUUGAAAUGGCCAAGUUACGAAGUAAUAUGGAUAGGUAAGGAAUAAAUUGCUUAUUUUCUUUUUUUUUAAUUGGUUG
rnacentral:lncRNA from 1 species